UAAAACAUGUAUACAAAUACCAUACUUUAGGAUAAAUGUGGUACCUACUUUACAAUUUUACCACAUUUCAUAAUAAAUGCAUGAAAAACAAUUAUAACACAUCCAUUUUAGGACGAUAGUUGCAGCUUAUUUGCAAUUUUACCGCAUUUCUUAAUAAAUGCAGGAAAAACAUGUAUACAAAUACCAUAUUUUAGGAUAAAUGUGGUACCUACUUUGCAACUUUACCACAUUUCCUAAUAAAAUGCAUGAAAAACAAUUAAAACACCUCCAUUUUA
rnacentral:lncRNA from 1 species